GAUGAACGCUGGCGGCGUGCCUAAUACAUGCAAGUCGAGCGAACGGACGAGGAGCUUGCUUCUCUGACGUUAGCGGCGGACGGGUGAGUAACACGUGGAUAACCUACCUAUAAGACUGGGAUAACUUCGGGAAACCGGAGCUAAUACCGGAUAAUAUUUUGAACCGCAUGGUUCAAUAGUGAAAGACGGUUUUGCUGUCACUUAUAGAUGGAUCCGCGCUGCAUUAGCUAGUUGGUAAGGUAACGGCUUACCAAGGCAACGAUGCGUAGCCGACCUGAGAGGGUGAUCGGCCACACUGGAACUGAGACACGGUCCAGACUCCUACGGGAGGCAGCAGUAGGGAAUCUUCCGCAAAGGGCGAAAGCCUGACGGAGCAACGCCGCGUGAGUGAUGAAGGUCUUCGGAUCGUAAAACUCUGUUAUUAGGGAAGAACAUAUGUGUAAGUAACUGUGCACAUCUUGACGGUACCUAAUCAGAAAGCCACGGCUAACUACGUG
rnacentral:rRNA from 1 species